rnacentral:rRNA from 1 species
AAACGCUGGAAAUGUGGAUACCGGCAUGCAAGUCGAGGGCCCGCAAGGGACGGCGAACGGCUUAGUACACGUAGGUACAUACCGCAAAGAUGGGGACAGCUCGUUGAAAAACGGGGUAAUACCCAAUAGUCCCGCAAGGGUAAAGGAGCAAUCCGCUUUGUGAAUGGCCUGCGGCCUAUCAGCUUGUUGGCGGGGUAAAAGCCCACCAAGGCGAUGACGGGUAGGGGGUGUGAGAGCACGGCCCCAAGAGUUGGACUGCGACACGGCCAACACUCCUACGGGAGGCUGCAGUCGAGAAUCUUCCGCAAUGGACGAAAGUCUGACGGAGCGACAUUUCGUGAAGGAUGAAGCCCUUCGGGGUGUAAACUUCUUUUGUAUGGGAAAAAGUUAUUGAUUGUACCAUAAGAAUAAGGGGUUCCUAACUCUGUGCCAGCAGGAGCGGUGAUACAGAGACCCCAAGCGUUACCCGGAUUUAUUGGGCGUAAAGGGUGUGUAGGUGGUGUGGUAAGUUUGGAUUUAAAGCUUGUCGGCUUAACCUUCAAGAUGAUCUAAAUACUGCACGCUCAGAGGGCG